GUGCUUGCUUUGGCAGCACAUAUACUAAAAUUGGAAUGAUAAAGAGAAGAUCAGCAUGGCCCCUGCGCAAAUGAUGACAUGCAAAUUAGAGAAGUGAAAUAUUUCCAC